AUGUGCCUGUUGCCGGCGGCUCGAGCGAUGCAAGCCGGCGGCAAACUAGAAAAGAAAGCCUCCUCGGACAUUAAGAAGGUACAACUAGGUAGCAGUGGAAGUGCUCCGUUCAAAAACAAGAACUUAGCAGAAGCUCUACAUAUGCAAAUGGAGGUUCAGACACAGCUCCAUGAACAGCUAUAG
rnacentral:rRNA from 1 species